UUUUUUUUUUUAGGCCUGAGACAGUAGUAUGGUUCUCACAGCACAGUAAGACAACUAGCUCUGACUCAGUGGCCAGUGACUCAAGUUUUCAUUCUCCCAGCAGGACUGGGAGGAGUUUUGCACCUUAGUUUCAAAUUAAUAGAUGGGAACUUAUGAAAUUUGUUAGCCUAACAGUCACAGCCUUGAAUGCUUCCAGACAUCAACUUACUGCCCUAUCCUCCAACAUCGUAUGGUGUUAGAUAUAUUGACAGCCAGCUCAGGUGGCGUGAGUGCUGUCAUAGUUAAGACGUGUUGUACCUAAAUAGAUGAAGAAGAAGAUUACACCAAUGUGCUUUUUACUUGUAAUUGUUAUUUAUUAAGUUUGGAUGACACACAAAUUAUGCCUAUUGAUUCAAUAUAAUAUCAUGACUUGUGUAGGUUCUUCUCAUCUGAGUCAUAGUCUAAUCAUGUCUAGCUAAUGUUGCCAACUGGCUCCAGUAAUAGCCACUGCUUGCUAAGAGGCUAGGCCUCCAUUUUGGCUUGUUUAUUUGACAUGUUGCAAACCAGUCGUUUUAUGUAGGGGCCGUUUUAUUUUUCCUAAAUUUGGUUGUAUUUUAUUUUUUUCCAAAUUCAGUUUUUUUUUAACCUCUUCAAACUGAAAAUCCCCCGUACAGUGGCAGCAUGAGAUGCAUGCACAAUACAGAUGAUCUGCGUCUGCUAGGAAGCACCAAUCCUAACAUGAAGCACACCAAAAUGUUGGGGAGAAACUCAGCUAAAAACCUCUACCAAGCAUUGUCACCCAAAUGAAACAUGGUUAAAUCCCCAAGCAAUUAUAUGAGCAUGUAACAAAAAUUUGAAAACAGGCCAUGUCCACUUUAGUGCUGCUGCUAAUUUCACCACUUCAACCAAACCACACAAACGGUGCGUAAUAACCUGUGAACCCUCAAGGGGCUGAAUGUGAGAAUGUAUAGAGGCCUCAAAAACAGUUGUAUUUGGAUGGAAUUAAUAAUCAUAGUGAUAAAUAAGUGAAAUAGUAUUAAUUUUCCAGUCUGGUACCUGAAAAAGGUCAAAUGGCACAUGUGGUAUCCGCCUGGACAUACCUGUGUUAAAACUUCUGUUACUUAGAAAAGGUAAUUCACAAUACUCAAAACAUUGCUUUGAAUUAAUGUAAUAUCCAGCAGUUGGCUUAACUUAAAUAUUCUAGUGGAAAACGUUAACACAUAUUUUUUGUUUUUUGUUUUUGUUAACCCAAUGUUUUAUUUAUAAGAGUGUGUAGAGAGAUACCAGCUGGUCAUCAAUGAGAAGGUUAGAAGCUCCAAGUCACAACGGAUGGCUUGAACAGAGAAUACAAAGGAUCAGCUGAGUUUCUCUCUCUCUCUCUCUCUCUCUCCUUCUCUCUCUCUCUCCUUCUCUCCUUCUCUCUCCCUCUCUCUCUCUCUCUCUCCUUCUCUCUCCCUCUCUCCUUCUCUCUCUCUCCUUCUCUCUCCCUCUCUCUCAUUCUCUCUCUCCUUCUCUCUCUCUCUCCUUCUCUCUCCCCCUCUCUCUCUCCUUCUCUCUCCCUCUCUCCUUCUCUCUCUCUCCUUCUCUCUCCCUCUCUCUCAUUCUCUCUCUCCUUCUCUCUCCCUCUCUCUCAUUCUCUCUCUCCUUCUCUCUCCCUCUCUCUCAUUCUCUCUCUCCUUCUCUCUCCCUCUCUCUCACUCAUUCUCAACUACUUUUUGUAAAUAAGUUAAAACUUAGAUAUGCUUGCCAACUAAAAAACAAAUCCCCGACAGUCCCUACAGAAAAAUUGGUUUGUUACACCUUAAAAGGUGUAAAAGGAGGGAGUUAUAACUUUUCCCUCCACUAGGGACAAAAUUGGUUUGUUACACCUCAAAGAGGUGUAAAAGGAGGGAUUGUUAGGGAUUAAUAAAAAAUAGCAAUAAUCACAUUAUGACUUUUAGCAAGAAUGCUGCUUAGACACAUUUAUAAAACACAUUUGUAUGCCAGGCACAGCACACAGAAAUAAGGAGUAUCGAAAGAAAGGACACACUGAUAACGCUUUGCACAUCGCCACAUAUUUUGAGGGCAAGCAGAUAAAAAACUGAAGCACUCUUUGUGCUCCAAUUCAAGGCCACGGGCCCAGGUGGAGAUUGAUACUGACGAACACUAGACAAGAUACAAUAGUGUGCUGUUAGCUUUUUUCCUUCCACAGGGCGCUGACCGGAAGCUGAAGCACCAAGAGGCUAGGACUAGCCUGCGUGCCUACGUAAUGGGCGGGCCGAGUCUAAACCAUGGUGCUGCCCCAACAGUUUUUGACCAAUCAGAUAAUUGCACAUUCAUAUUAUAAAACUCUGUGUAAAAGUAAGUUAGGGAUCCUUUUUCUGGGAGGUGGUUACAGCUAACUGCUUUGCAGCCUGUGAUUUCUGAACAGAGAAGGUCGAUGUACAUCAUUUACGCUUUCAUUAUUGUCUUAAAUAAAUAGUCAAAAGGA